GCCGACAUGGAUGAUGUUUCCAGGAACAGAUCUGUUUGCCAGAAUACCAUUUCAUGCAGCUCAUACUAUAUUGGAAACAGAUCAAGCGAAGCUUGACUUUGAGUCAAAGAAACUACAGAGCAUUAUGAAGGAAAAAGCUUACCUUCUAUCAGAGUCAGGUGUUCUUGUAGACAAGAUAAGCCCUGGAUUGCUCAAAUCGCUUGUAACCUUAAAUGACAAGUGAAAGUAAGAUGCCUUGACCUGCUAUAUAGUGAGAAAAAGCUUGUCAUUGCAUUGUCAACUGGGUGGAAAAUGUUAGUGUUUUCUGGGAGAAUCUUGAAGCAUUUAGGUUUUCAGUUAUCUAGUCUGUUACUGCAAGUGUGUACAUUUUUUUCCCCAAGUUUAUAUACUAUUAGUACUACACUCAAUCCUAGAAA